rnacentral:rRNA from 1 species
AACGAACGCUGGCGGCAGGCCUAACACAUGCAAGUCGAACGCCCCGCAAGGGGAGUGGCAGACGGGUGAGUAACACGUGGGAACCUUCCCUAUAGUACGGAAUAGCCCAGGGAAACUUGGAGUAAUACCGUAUACGCCCGAAAGGGGAAAGAAUUUCGCUAUAGGAUGGGCCCGCGUAGGAUUAGCUAGUUGGUGAGGUAAUGGCUCACCAAGGCGACGCUCCUUAGCUGGUUUGAGAGAACGACCAGCCACACUGGGACUGAGACACGGCCCAGACUCCUACGGGAGGGAGCAGUGGGGAAUAUUGGAAAAUGGGGGCAAGGAUGAUGCAGCCAUGACGGGUGAGUGAUGAAGGCCGUAGGGUUGUAAAGCUCUUUUGGCGGGGACGAUAAUGACGGUACCCGCAGAAUAAGUCCCGGCUAACUUCGUG